rnacentral:rRNA from 1 species
AUGGUUAAGUGACUAAGCGUAUACGGUGGAUGCCUUGGCAGUCAGAGGCGAUGAAGGACGUAGUAACUUGCGAAAAGCGUUGGCGAGCUAGUAACAAGCAUUUGAGCUAACGAUGUCCGAAUGGGGAAACCCACUCACAUAAGUGAGUAUCAUAUACUGAAUACAUAGGUAUAUGAGGCAAACCCGGGGAACUGAAACAUCUAAGUACCCGGAGGAACAGAAAUCAACCGAGAUUCCCCUAGUAGCGGCGAGCGAACGGGGAUUAGCCCUUAAGUCUAUGGGGUGUUAGUGGAAUGAGUUGGAAAGCUCAGCGGCACAGGGUGAUAGCCCCGUACAUGAAAACUAACCAUAGAUGAAAACGAGUAGGACGGGACACGUGACAUCUUGUCUGAACAUGGGGGGACCAUCCUCCAAGGCUAAAUACUCCUGACUGACCGAUAGUGAACCAGUACCGUGAGGGAAAGGCGAAAAGAACCCCUGUGAGGGGAGUGAAAUAGAACCUGAAACCGUAUACGUACAAGCAGUGGGAGCGGUUCCAUUCUUCGGAAUAAGAGACCGUGACUGCGUACCUUUUGUAUAAUGGGUCAGCGACUUACAUUUUGUAGCGAGGUUAAGCGAAUAGCGGAGCCGUAGGGAAACCGAGUGUUAACUGCGCGUAUCUUUAAUUAGAGAAGUUGCAAGGUGUAGACCCGAAACCCGGUGAUCUAUCCAUGGGCAGGUUGAAGGUUGAGUAACAUCAACUGGAGGACCGAACCGACUUAUGUUGAAAAAUGAGCGGAUGACUUGUGGAUGGGGGUGAAAGGCCAAUCAAACCGGGAGAUAUCUGGUUCUCCUCGAAAGCUAUUUAGGUAGCGCCUCGAGCGAAUACCAUUGGGGGUAGAGCACUGUUAAGGCUAGGGGGUCAUCCCGACUUACCAACCCUUUGCAAACUCCGAAUACCAAUGAGUACUACUCGGGAGACACACGGCGGGUGCUAACGUCCGUCGUGGAAAGGGAAACAACCCAGACCAUCAGCUAAGGUCCCAAAGUUAUUGCUAAGUGGGAAACGAUGUGGGAAGGCUUAGACAGCUAGGAUGUUGGCUUAGAAGCAGCCAUCAUUUAAAGAAAGCGUAAUAGCUCACUAGUCGAGUCGGCCUGCGCGGAAGAUUUAACGGGGCUAAGCAAUACACCGAAGCUAUGGGUUUGCUAGUUUACUGGCAAGCGGUAGAGGAGCGUUCUGUAAGCCGUUGAAGGCGAAGGGGUAACCCACGCUGGAGGUAUCAGAAGUGCGAAUGCUGACAUGAGUAACGAUAAAGGGAGUGAAAAACUCCCUCGCCGAAAGACCAAGGUUUCCUGUCCAAUGUUAAUCAGGGCAGGGUAAGUCGACCCCUAAGGUGAGGCCGAAAGGCGUAAUCGAUGGGAAACAGGUUAAUAUUCCUGUACUUCUGCUAACUGCGAUGGAGAGACGGAGAAGGCUAGGCUAGCGCGGCGUUGGUUGUCCGCGUUUAAGGUUGUAGGUUGUAUUCUUAGGCAAAUCCGGGGAUACGCAUUAAAUUGCAAGACUGAGGACUGAUGACGAGACCCUAAGGGGUUGAAGUAGUUGAUGCCAUGCUUCCAGGAAAAUCUUCUAAGCUUCAGGUUAGUAGGAAUCGUACCCCAAACCGACACAGGUGGUUGGGUAGAGAAUACCAAGGCGCUUGAGAGAACUCGGCUGAAGGAACUAGGCAAAAUGGUACCGUAACUUCGGGAGAAGGUACGCUCCUA